rnacentral:rRNA from 1 species
CAGUAGGGAUCUUCCGCAAUGGACGAAAGUCUGACGGAGCAACGCCGCGUGAGUGAUGAAGGUUUUCGGAUCGUAAAACUCUGUUGUUAGGGAAGAACAAGUAUCGUUCGAAUAGGGCGGUACCUUGACGGUACCUAACCAGAAAGCCCCGGCUAACUACGUGCCAGCAGCCGCGGUAAUACGUAGGGGGCAAGCGUUGUCCGGAAUUAUUGGGCGUAAAGCGCUCGCAGGCGGCCUUUUAAGUCUGAUGUGAAAGCCCACGGCUUAACCGUGGAGGGUCAUUGGAAACUGAAGGGCUUGAGUACAGAAGAGGAGAGUGGAAUUCCACGUGUAGCGGUGAAAUGCGUAGAGAUGUGGAGGAACACCAGUGGCGAAGGCGACUCUCUGGUCUGUAACUGACGCUGAGGAGCGAAAGCGUGGGGAGCAAACAGGAUUAGAUACCCUGGUAGUCCACGCCGUAAACGAUGAGUGCUAGGUGUUAAGGGGUUUCCGCCCCUUAGUGCUGAAGUUAACGCAUUAAGCACUCCGCCUGGGGAGUACGGCCGCAAGGCUGAAACUCAAAAGAAUUGACGGGCCUGC